rnacentral:lncRNA from 1 species
GUUCAGAACUUUACUGGGCACCUAUUCUGGGCCAAGUGCAGACUUAGAUUCUGGGGACUCAAGACUUACGCAGACGCCCCCUUCGGAGACUUAAUGAGUAUGAACCAAGGCGCGGGUGCGUUGUCAAUGUAAAAUGCAGUGUGGAUGUUAUCAACAGUUAUCCGACCACCCUAAUUGUGUCCGUUCCAGGCCGCGCAACACCUGGCUCCACCGUUGUGGAGGAGAUCGAGUUGCCUGUGGUUGGCUGCUUUGCAGUGCACCCUGGGGGAGGGUGGGAGAGCAGGUGAUCUCUCUCUCCUCCUCCUCCUGCUGAGGCCCCCACAGGUGAAUCCCACCCAGAAGCCAGAGGCCCCAAGAGCCUUCCAGGCAGACGGCAGGUGGAGGAAGGCAGAGAGUGGACCUGGAGGGGCAGAUGGAAGAUCUUGGCUCAUCAUAUAUCCAACGCCUAAAGAAAACCACAGGUGCCGUUUGGCAGAUAUAUGCUUACAGUCCCUUAAGGCAAUGCUUUAAUUUUGCUUGAGGCAGAAAAAAGCAGGACAGGGAAAAACUAAUAAAGAAGGGCCAGAGGCAGGGAAAACACAUCGCCAAGGUUCCCAGCAUAGGAGAACAUAGGCUGAGCUGGAAAAUGACCUGGUUGCUUGGAACAGGAUCACAAAUUCAGUGAGUUAAGUCACAGAUGCAAAAGCACCUGCUUAAAGUCUGAGGACCAAAAAGGAAGCUCCCAAUUCUCUAGCCACGGCUGAAGGCACACGUGUGGAUCAGCCCCUGAAACCCCUGAAACUCAGGAGGGCUUCCCGCCCUGCGGGAGGGGCACCAGCAAGCCUGUGUUCAGAGCAGCUGCGAACUGCGAGUGCUGGGCUUGUGGAGCGAGGCCCUUGGUUUGUGAGCGUCUGCUGCAGUAAAGGUAGUGGAGUGUCUCAGACGUCUUUAGAAAAUGAAAAUGUUUUCUUUGAUAAUGUUUUGAAUAUUUCGUCUCUAUUUGUUUCUGUUUCUGUCAUUUCGGGAAACGUAUCUUGCAUUGUUAUUUAACAAUCUGUUUGUGUAGAGCUUUGUUCAGAAAAUCGUUUCCCACCUGCUGUCUACAUCAUAGUUGGAGAGGGUCCCGGACAGAGUUUCACAAGGACACAGUACACCAGGAGUGACGGCGAGCCUCAGGGUGCGUCCUGGGUGGAUACAGAGCUCAAUCUCAUGGAGGAAAGUGUCACUGGAAAAAGUCCCAGGUGGCUCUGAUAUCUGCCCCUCUCCCUUCCUCCUUUCUGGGAAAAUAAGUGAGUAAGACACAGUCCCUUCACUUUGAGGGGUUAUUAAUUCUUCAUGCAUCUUACACAAAUAUGUAUAACGUGGAGCAUCACUAAGGAUCCAGAGGGAGUAACGAAUUCCAAAUAGGAGCAAUCCAGGAAGGCCUCAGGAAGAAAGUAAUGUUUAGACUAAAGACAGAUGUGUCAGGGAAAGAAACUCCAUAGUAACUUGAACAGGGAAUGUUUAAUUCAAAGAAUUUUUAAUUAUAACAGAGGACUGGAGUAGGGAGGGAUUGGCUAGAAAGAAGUAAAGAGAACUCUAAGGAACGUGGGAUUAGCAGACAUAGGAGCAGUCAUGACCCCUAGGGCUGAGACAGGGCAUCCAGGGAGAAGCCCCUGCCCCCAGGGCUGAGGCCCAGACUUUGGAGAGGGCACUGCAGCCCUCCCUGGGUGCCAGAAUCCUGUCCUCUUGGGCACCAAGAAAGCUGCUCAUGGGGAAGUGUCUCAUUAGAGGCACCCACCACAAAUAGCAGGGGGUGCAGGGAAGCGUCUGGCUGCCAUGCGCUGGGAGAACUGGGCACCAGAGAAGGUAUGAGCAGGGCAGGAGCUCUAGAUCUAACACACCAAACUAGGAAACCAAACUCUUCCUCCUGCUGUGUCUCUCUGGCACCUCUCCUGUCAAGCUUAAUAUCAUACCAACUGGCAAAGUAGAAAUAAUUAAAGGGGCCCACACUUACUUUCAUGGAACAGGCAAAAAGGGUGCAUUUGUAGCUGAGAAGCAGUGAGUCGAUAAGCAUCAGAGUAGGGUUCGCCGAAUGUCAAGUUUGGAAGUUUGUAGCUAAAAGGCGGUGAGUCAAUAAACAUCAGAGUAGGGGUUCGCUGAAUGUCAAGUUUGGAAGGGGCUUUAAUGGUCCUAUAUUCCAUCCCCCAUCCUCAGGGUUUGAAUCUCAAAUCCUCACAUGCCAAUCAAGUGGUUGCCAAGCUCAUGCUGAGGCAUCCACAGCGGCAGGUGGCCUCUACUUCCUGUCUGAGAUUCUCAGGAAGGUCUUGUUCACACUGAAGCCGUGCUGCUUCUAGAAAUAACGAGGUCUCACCUGACAGCCCUUCAAAUACAUACACGAGCCGUUUUUCUGCUGUGCUUUCUCUUUGCUUUUGCUUUGUCUCUUGUAAACUACACGUCUUACCUCUGUGACAAUUCAGAAUCUUCACUCUAUACCAAUCAUGGGCACGAGUACACUUCUAUAGGUCUAGGGCUCUGCAGGGGUGGGGAAUGUCUCCCCUCAAAAACCUGCUCCAGCUGCACUCUGACAGUGCAAAAUGGAGCAGGACCAUUGGACCCUUUCAUAUUUUGCCAUUUCAUCCAUAACUGACCUCGUUUUGCUGGUCAUGGUGAUUGAUCUAGGGAGUGACUCCUGAUCUGUGUCAGAAAUGGGACUAGGAAAGAGAAGUCUCUUUUCACACCUGGUCAUGAACCUAAGACGAAAUGAGCCCUAAAAGCUGCCUUCAACUCUGACUCCAGCUUGAGAGGAUGCAUCCGAGAGGAGAGAGAAGCAGAGAAAAAAAACAAAGAUGUCCUGAUGCCAUGACAGCCCCUGGUUCCUGUCAUUCCUGAGGCCAACUCCGCCCCUCGCUCUGCCUCCGUGUGGUUCCAGGAGCCAGCAGAUGUCUCCUUUUUUGCUUAAACCAGUUCUAGCUGGGUUUCUGGAAAUUACCAACAAAUAAUAUCAACCUACAUGGCCUUCUUACCUUAAAGGAAAAAAAAAAAAAAAAAGAAGCUGGAAACAUUGGCUCACUCCUUUGCCACAGGGCUUCUGUAGAAGCAAAUGUCACUUUAGCUAGAACUGGGAGUUUGUUGUGAAGGAUGUUUAGGGACAGCAUAUUUAGAAACUAAGAUCUUGCUUCUCCCCAUGUCUUCCUUUUCCUUUCUGAACAA